rnacentral:rRNA from 1 species
GACCCAGGCCGCCGGCCCUAACCAUGCAAGUCGAGCGAGAUCUUCGGAUCUAGCGGCGGACGGGUGAGUAACGCGUGGGAACGUGCCCUUCUCUACGGAAUAGUCCCGGGAAACUGGGUUUAAUACCGUAUACGCCCUUCGGGGGAAAGAUUUAUCGGAGAAGGAUCGGCCCGCGUUGGAUUAGGUAGUUGGUGGGGUAAUGGCCUACCAAGCCGACGAUCCAUAGCUGGUUUGAGAGGAUGAUCAGCCACACUGGGACUGAGACACGGCCCAGACUCCUACGGGAGGCAGCAGUGGGGAAUCUUAGACAAUGGGCGCAAGCCUGAUCUAGCCAUGCCGCGUGAGUGACGAAGGCCCUAGGGUCGUAAAGCUCUUUCACCAGGGAUGAUAAUGACAGUACCUGGAGAAGAAACCCCGGCUAACUCCGUGCCAGCAGCCGCGGUAAUACGGAGGGGGUUAGCGUUGUUCGGAAUUACUGGGCGUAAAGCGCGCGUAGGCGGGCUGUUAAGUCGGGGGUGAAAUCCCGGGGCUCAACCCCGGAACUGCCCUCGAUACUGGCA